UGAGAGGGGGGUUUCACUGUGUUGCCCAGGCUGGUCUUGAACUCCUGACCUCAUGAUCUGCCCAUCUUGGCCUCUGAAAGUGCUGGGAUUACAGGUGUGAGUCACGAAGCCCAGCCUUUUUUUUUUUUUUUUUUUUAAUUGAGAUAGGGUCUCGCUCUGUUGCCCAGGCUGGAGUGCAGUGGUGUGAUUUUGGCUCACUGCAGCCUCCCAGGAUUAAACCUCCCAGGCUUGAACAAUAUUCCUACCUCAGCCUCCCCAGUAGCUGGGACUGCAGGUGUGCACCACCACGCCCAGCUAUUUUGUUUAUUUGUUUGUUUUUGUAGAGCUGGGAUUGCAUGGAGUUGCCCAAGCCCAUCUCGAGCUCCUAGGCUCAAGCGAUCCACCCUACCUAAGCUUCCUGUAGUGGUGGGAUUACAGGUGUGAGCCACCGCACCUGGCCAGGAUUUCUUUCUUUUUAGUGAACAAAUACCGAAUUGGUUUUCAAACAGAAACAAAAAGCAGUAUACAGUUAUGAAAGGAAGCAACUCAAGGAUCAUCUUUUGUCAUAAACGACAGAAACCAGAAGAGCAGCGCUGUUAAGAAACGACUCUGCAUGCUGCUGGAAUGUAUGGAAAAGGCUGCUGUGCGUCAGGAAGACGGGCCACGAGGCCCUGCCUGAGGCUCGGAGCUCUGUGACCUGAAGUGACUCGCAGUGACUUCUCCGCGCCUUGGUGCCUUCACCUGUGAAAAGGAGGUGGCCCCGGCUCUGCAGGGCUCUCGGGGCUGAAUCGAGUGUGCUCUUACCCCAGAGACGCUGAACCUUCAGGCAGCAUUCCUUCCUCAGCGGGCAGGAAUCAAGCACGCAGGAGAGGGGGCUACCUGGCUGCACCCCUGGAGAGCCUGGGAUGUAGCAGCCUCUGUUCCUGCUUCCGGUGAAUGAGCUGGGAGGCACAGCUUCUGGAGUGAUUUGCAAGAGAUGCAUCGGAGCUCAAGAAGGACAGCAGCCUGGCCAACAGCUUCUCACCCUCUCUGGGCAACAGUCUUUCCCAAAUGAACAGUGGACAGAACAAGGCUCUGGAGGCUGGUGUCCUGGUCUGGAGUUCCCCGUCCCUGAAGCCCUGAGACUGCAGGGUUCAGAGCAGGUCCCUGACCUCUCUCAGCCUCAGGACCUCAUUGGUGAGAUGAGAACACACCUGGCACCCUCCAGGGGCAGCUGCGGGGUGGGAGGAUACAGGGCCCUAGUCAGCGUCCCUCUGUCGGUCCAUGUGGUUUAUUUGCAUGGUGGUGAGAGUGGGCUCCCAGGGAGGAAACACUUUUUCUCUGUCAGUUUCACCCACCAGCAACCUCCCAUCUGGCUCUCCUAAAAUUCUUGGCGUUGAGGCUCAUUCUGAACUCAGGAAGGAUGCAGGAAUUAACAGGCUUCCUGGGCUAGCCUAGGAGCCACCCCACACAGGCCGUGGGAAGGUGCAUCCCCGUCUCAGGAGUUCUACUCAACAGAUUCACCAGCACACUCAUGGCCCACGUCUGUGAGUUGGAGGUUUCUGCCAAUAACUGCCAAUGUCACCACUCUGGCAAAUCUGCCCUCUGAAUGUGAACAUGGAGUUGUUGGAAUUUAUUUUUUAAAAUAUGUGCUUGUGCGCAGUGUGGGGAGGGAUGUAAAAACACAUGCCCUUCCUAGAUGUUGUCUAUUCUUGGAGAUGCUAAAGCUGUUCUCCAGAGGGAACUCAGCAGCAGCAACUGUAUAUACUAUAUCUAAGGGUUUGAACCCCGGCUCUGCCGCUUAGUAGAUGUGGAUUUGGAACAACUUU